AUUGGAUUGGCAAGGAGUAUUACGAAAAGGGGCCUAAUGGAAACGACAUUCACAAAACUAAUGUUCCUCACAUUCGGAUAGAAUUCCGAGACACGAUUUGGAGAGGAGAGAUGCAACAGGUUCACUUAGGAAAGGCCAUCGCCUCCGAAAUAGCCGUAUAAUAUGCCUAGAGACACGUGCUCCGUCCUUGCUUCGAGCAACCCCAACUUUUGAACAGCUUUACAGGUCUAAAUUGAGCUCCCGGUCGUCAGCAUCAAAAGAGAUGACGAAAUUCAGAUAACCCCAUCCAAGUUAACAGUUGUGUCUGAUACAAACAUACACACACCAAGGCUGAAGAAUUUAUGGCACUUCUCGGAGGACAUGGCCACCCGCGAGAACACCGUACUAAAUCAAUCGUCCAACUCCCACAGCUACAAGGCAAUUUAGCGUAGCGAGAUAUUUUGGGCUUGGUGAUCAAAAUAAAUUGAUCUCAUAAUAAUUACACGCGUUGAAUAGAUAGCUCUGAAAAAUUUUGAUCCCAUAUUUAUUACAAUCGAUGUACAGUAAUUUCUCUUUAGUUAUGAGCACAGUA